ACAUCCCUCUGACCGCUCUAGAGAUAGAGUUUUCCUUCGGGACAGAGGUGACAGGUGGUGCAUGGUUGUCGUCAGCUCGUGUCGUGAGAUGUUGGGUUAAGUCCCGCAACGAGCGCAACCCCUAUUGUUAGUUGCCAUCAUUCAGUUGGGCACUCUAGCGAGACUGCCGGUAAUAAACCGGAGGAAGGUGGGGAUGACGUCAAAUCAUCAUGCCCCUUAUGACCUGGGCUACACACGUGCUACAAUGGCUGGUACAACGAGUCGCAAGCCGGUGACGGCAAGCUAAUCUCUUAAAGCCAGUCUCAGUUCGGAUUGUAGGCUGCAACUCGCCUACAUGAAGUCGGAAUCGCUAGUAAUCGCGGAUCAGCACGCCGCGGUGAAUACGUUCCCGGGCCUUGUACACACCGCCCGUCACACCACGAGAGUUUGUAACACCCGAAGUCGGUGAGGUAACCAUUUGGAGCCAGCCGCCUAAGGUGGGAUAGAUGAUUGGGGUGAAGUCGUAACAAGGUAGGCGUAGCGAG
rnacentral:rRNA from 1 species